rnacentral:tRNA from 1 species
GCUUGGCUGGCUCAGUUGGUGGAGCAUGAGACUCUUGAUCUUAGGGUCUUGAGUUCAAGUCCCACGUUAGGUG